rfam:Pan troglodytes isolate Yerkes chimp pedigree #C0471 (Clint) chromosome 17, whole genome shotgun sequence.
GCUGGGUGUGGUGGUGCACGCCUGUAGUCCCAGCUACUUGGGAGGCUGAGGCAGAAGAAUCGCUUGAACCCGGGAGACAGAGGUUGCAGUGAGCCAAGAUCACACCACUGCACUCCAGCCUGGGCAACAGAGCAAGACUCUGUCUCAA